rnacentral:rRNA from 1 species
UACGUAGGGGGCAAGCGUUUGUCCGGAUUUAUUGGGCGUAAAGAGCGUGUAGGCGGCCAAACAGGUCAGCUGUGAAAACUCGAGGCUCAACCUCGAGACGUCGGUUGAAACCGUUUGGCUAGAGUCCGGAAGAGGAGAGUGGAAUUCCCGGUGUAGCGGUGAAAUGCGCAGAUAUCGGGAAGAACACCCGUGGCGAAGGCGGCUCUCUGGGACGGUACUGACGCUGAGACGCGAAAGCGUGGGGAGCGAACAGG